GACGGAAGGUGCAAGCGUUGCUCGGAAUCACUGGGCGUAAAGGGUGCGUAGGCGGCUUGGUAAGUUGGGUGUGAAAGCCCCGGGCUCAGCCCGGGAAGGGCACUCGAAACUGCCGAGCUGGAGUGCCGGAGGGGAGAGUGGAAUUCCUGGUGUAGCGGUGAAAUGCGUAGAUAUCAGGAGGAAUACCGGUGGCGAAGGCAGGUCUCUGGGCCGAUACUGACGCUGAGGAGCGAAAGCGUGGGGAGCAAACAGG
rnacentral:rRNA from 1 species